GACGUAGGGCGCGAGCGUUGUCCGGAUUUAUUGGGCGUAAAGGGUGCGUAGGCGGCGCGGUAAGUCGGGUGUGAAAUCUCGGAGCUUAACUCCGAAACUGCAUUCGAUACUGCCGUGCUUCGAGGACUGGAGAGGAGACUGGAAUUUACGGUGUAGCGGUGAAAUGCGUAGAUAUCGUAAGGAAGACCAGUGGCGAAGGCGGGUCUCUGGACAGUUCCUGACGCUGAGGCACGAAGGUCAGGGGAGCAAACGGGG
rnacentral:rRNA from 1 species